UCAGGCAGCGUGUGUGAAAUGCUCUGGCAAAUUCACGCCGCUGUUAAUGACCUGAGGUAAUUAGCAGCGCUAAACCAUCUCCCGGUCCGGUUGGUUUUGCCCGUGGACUCCCGGCUCCCCGCAGGCCCGUCCCGUGACCGCACACUCACCCUGCGCUCUCCGUGUCCCUCAGCCCUAGGUCGGAGGGACCCCGAAGUGAGCGCAGAACUCAUUUCAGGUUGAAGAAACCGCAGCGGAAGAAAUACGGCCUGCUGUCGAAUUACGAUGAGAACAUAGAGAUGGCCUCGUUCGACAGCGACGAGGACACGGUGUUUGAAACGAGAAACCUGAGGCGAUGAUUUGGGACCAGCGGCACCGACUUCACAGACUGACCAAGGGGGUGCAAGUCCGGUGGAAUCACCUUACCAGUGCUCAAAUUUUAUUUUUUUAUAUAUGCUUAUAAUGACUAUUAAUUAAACACUUCCAUAGCUGGGGCAGGGGAAAGGGGACCAAACCUGUUUUCUUCACACGCAUUUUUCGGGAAAGGUGGAGCUGUAAGCUAAGUGAUGCUGCACUGGGUGCUGUUAACUGCAGAGGGAGAUGCUGAGGAAGACGUGACUCUGGAGGAAUGCUCAGCGUUUGAAAUCCUGCCGCUCUGGACUCCAGUGCUGCAGCUGCGUCUGCUGGCCCAUCGGUGACUGUGACAGUCAGCUUGAAGUGUCAGACGACUGGAUUUCUUUUGCAGGCUGAUCCUCUUCAUGCAGUAUCUGGUUACUUCAUUAGGAAGUGUCUCUGUAAUCAGCUCUGAGCUGGGAGAGCUCUUGUUGUCUGUUACACUAGUGCGGUGGGUGUGGAUAGUGUUGUGUUCAGAGAGAGAAUGCAUCGAGUUUCUUGUAGUCGCAGGGUUAGCAGCCACGGUAAUGCAGGUCAUUACGUGGGUUUACAGAGCAAAGACACGUUUACAAGUGAGAGGUGCCACUUAGCCCAGAGGAGCAUUUCCAAAAGAGCAGUGGGUUGUGUAGCCUGUGGGGCUGCGAGUGUUCAGAGUGUUCAGACCGUUCUGCCCAGCUCCCGUGGUGCUUUCACCAGAGAAACGUGUGACAUCUGCCAAGCUGCUGGAGUCUGAGCUGCUGGCUCUGUCAGGAAGAGCCAGAGCACCGUGGAUUGAGUCGGAGCACCUGAACUGCUCGUGUGAUGAGUGACCUGUCUCGGAGCAUCUGAUGACUGGAAAAGGAGGACCCGGACUCUAUGAACUGUGAUUCUUGAAGCUGCACAGCCCUGGCUCAGAAAUAAUCUCCUUGAAGGGUACUGGAGUUUCACUCCACUUGCUGAAGCUCAAGCUACGUCCCGCUGUCAGCCCAGCAAACUGGGAUGUUUCUGGGCAGCCCAUUGCGUUGAUAUUUGGGUUCUUACUGCGUAGGGCCAAGAUGUGAAUGUAGUAGAAGGUCACAGUUAGGUGGAUCUGCUGCUGAAACAGUAAAAACUGCUUGCAGAGUGCUCCUGUUUAUGGCACGUUUCAGCCUUGAAGGGAAGGCCCUUCCUUGAAAACGAUGGGCAGUGCAGACCUGUAUCCUUAAGUCCCACUCCCACCCCAAACUGGUAGUGCCUUUGUUAGGAGAAGCUGAGGGAGUUGCCCUGCGGGCGGGGAGCUCCCUGCUUGACCUUGCCUUGAAGAUGAAGGUAGAGAAUGUCUCUGGAGUCAUGGCUCCCUUCUCUCUGGAGUCAUGGCUCCCUUCUUUCGGUUAGCAAAUCCUCUGUAGGUAAGGGGACAAAACUGACAACGAGAAGGGCUGAGCAGGAGGGAUAUCCUUACCAGACAGCGAGGACGAACGGGUUUGCUGUGAGUCGCCCGGGAGCUCAGGCUCUAGCUGCUGCUCUGAAGUCCCUCCUGAGGCCGUGGGAGCGGUGAGGUCCUGGCGCCCGCCUGAGCGAGGGGCAGCAUUUCUCAGUGCAGAGGGGGUGAGGUUUCCUGGAGAAAUGUCACCCCAGGUGCUGGCAGCUCUCUCUUGCACACGUGCAAAAGAUUUUAAAAUAUAUAUAUAUUUUUAGUAAUGCUGUCAUGUGAACACAGUGCUUGGAUGUGCCCUAAUUUCAUAUCAUUUCUAUCCUUUCAUGCCUCUUUUAGGUACUUUCUGCUUGUUUGGUUGAUGCAGAGAUGAAAGCCUUCACGGCAUUCCUCUGUGAGGACAGCAGUGAUGGCUAAAUCUGUCCGUUGCUGCCCCUCGGGUGAUCAGAGAGCUGAUUUGUUUGGUUCCUGGCGGUGUGUCUCCCUUGAUCCUGCACAGGCUGGCAGGUCUAUGCGCACGCUGAUAACUUUCUCUGGCUCUUCAACUCCCUCUGCAAAGUUGUUUCUUGCAUUGUGCCAGGUAAACCUGACUGUAUUUCAGUCUGCUGGCGUGCCCUGGCUCAGCGCUGGGACUGACAUGCUCGCUGGCCUUCCUUUAUCUGAGGCGACUGACUCGAUCGUUUUUAGGCUCUGCUCUUCGUCGGACAGACGGUGUUUGUGAUUUUGAAGCUUCCUUGCCUUGCAGGAGGGGAUUUUUUUUUUUUUUUAACAGUUGAAUGAUUUUGAUCAAAGGGGGGACCUCAAGCCGUAGGUUCUACCAUGGAAAUAAUUUUGAUAGAGUUUGAUUGUGCUGUAGUAGGUAUUUAGAAUUUGAGCAAGGGAAGGUGUGGGGGGACCCAGCCCGAGCACAUAACGUGGCCCCUGCUGUGGCACUGUGUAGGUGAAUGGUGCUGAGGGCCGGGCGGGUGUGCCAGCCCCGUGUCUGAGCACCACGGACGUGUUUACAGAGCCCUUCUGCUGCCCGCCUGUGCAGGGGUGCAGAGUAAAGAGCUGAUGGUGGGGCUGUAGCGCACAGCAUCGCUUUCACUCCUGUUCUGAUCCCAUUUUGGCUGGAGGCAGGUUUGAGCUGGAACCAGUGACCCUGUGUGGCUGUUCCCAUUUUCCCCUGAAGCAUCCUGCAUCUUGGGAGCAGUCGGUGGUCUGGAUUUGCUCUUUGCAGGCCAAGACAUUACAUUCCUGCUCCGUUCUAAGUCAUUGUUAAAGGCAUUUUCUGCGAGGAGAAAACAAAGAUGCUGAUUACAGACCUGAGACUCCUUCGAGGACAAAUCUAUUGCUUGGCACAGCUGUUGCUGAUCUCCGUUUCUCCUGGAAGAAUAAAUUGGAGUUGUUGCAACAGCUUCUCCUCACAGCAGCGGAACAGUGCACCCAUGGGCAAUGAGCGUGAGGCCAGUGCAGGUUUUUCUAGGGGGUGGUGGUGGAUCUUGCUAAUAAUAGUGGCUUUUAAAGCCUUGCUUUAUGUUUCUGUAAGAGAGCAGUUCAGCAGUUACUUCCAUUAUCGGUUUAGUUACUUUCUGUGUAUUUGGUACCUGUGCUGAUAGCCUAGUGGGUCUCUUUGCAACGGUUGGAUCUUCCGGUAGUUUUUCCGAAGAGAUUUAAACACACGGAUGCAAACAGACGCCCGUAUGCUCUGAGCCAGCUCUGGCCUGGGAGCUGCAGGGCCGCAGCCGCGCAGGGCUCAGCUCCUGCGACCACGCGCCGCUGCUCAGAGGAACGGGCUCUGUCCCUGGGCAGGCUGAUGCCUCACCAGCUACUGCUGCACUUUUCUUUCUCCAGAGUGGAUCAGGGUGUUAGUGGGAGGCUCUGUGGACUCCGACUGCCCUUUGCUGUUGGCCAGGGCUGAUGCUUGCCAAAAGGCUGCCGGAGCAGGCAAGGAGGACCGAGAGCAGAGCGUGGGGCUCCCAACGACGCUGCGCGGUCGCCAGCCUGCGCGUGGCACAAGUGACUGCUACAGAGUCCGCCUGGAACAAUCACUAUUGUUUAAGCCAAAGCCUAAUUUCAAAAGUUUACGUAAUUGCCUCUGAUCUUCUCGGAGGGUUGUAUCGGAUCCUCUGCUGCUGAUCCUGAACUACCAGGGAAAUCGACUGGGCCGUCUGCCGAGGUUAAUGAGAUUGACUGGGAGCAGUGCGAGCCUCAGCUCUCUGUCGUUCAUAACGUGCUUCUGUUUUGUUUCAUUUGUACGUGUGACUGGAAUGGGAUCUGCCGCGCCGAAGUGCUGCGAGAUGGACCUGUGGUCCGAGCAGAUUGCCAAGAAGUCAAUAAACCAGCACUUGAGUGCAUUGUGUCGUCUGUGCUCUCAGGAAUGGAGGAGAUAGUCUUCCACCCUCCCGCUUGAAUUGUUGAUUUAUUUUUAAAUAGCAACCAGUCCUCUAUUGAUCCAUUGGUUUACUAUCGUUUACAGCUUCCCCCCCUCCAUUGUAUCUUGGAACAAAUGAAAUAAAGCGUUCCGUUUCCUC